CGGAGCUCAUCCAGUUUAUUCUCCAGUGACUGCACGUUGGCUAAUAGAACGGAUGGUGGAAGUGGAUUACCUACUCGCCGACGAAUUCUCACAAGGCACCCGGAUCUCCGCCCCCUGUAUUUAGUUAUUUUCUUCAUGUGAAUGACAGGGAUUUGGGCCUUGUCUGGGAGCAACAUUACCUAUAUCCUUUGCGUUGGACUCAUUAAAGAAAAGAUCUUCAUCCAGUUCGAGAUUGGUGGACCGGAAACCCAGUGGCAACAAUCAGGUCUGUAUCUGUCAUUUUCCGGUGGGAAAGAGAAAUGGCCCUGUAUUUACCAGAAAAGGUAGCUCAUCCUCCAUGGCAGAAGAGAAAGAUCCAGACUGUUGAUUGGGAAAAAAUAACAAACAAUGAGGCAUGAGGAUUGGGUGUUGAGGGACCACUUGUCACAUUGUCCAAGUCCAAAAGGAGUGCAUCCCUUGUGCCAUCUGGUGCACGGACAUCCUUUGCCAGUGUGAUCCGAGUGCAAGUGUCAAGUUGUAGAGACUACAACAGAUCGAGCCUGUGGACGGACAGUUGCUGAAAAGCAGAGUCUGUCAGAGGUUGUCACGCUGGAUGGGGAUGGUGAUGGAGACUUUGGUGGUUCACACAACGAAGAAGCAGAUGUCCCUUCCAGUGAUGUAGGGUUGACCUUGGACCUGGUGCCAGUAAGGAUGGUCUUCACAGAAGCGGUAAGACCCUCCUUCCUUGAUAUAGGAAUCCUUCGACUUCACCUUCUCUUCAAUGGUAAGGUCCCUUGCACCAUAGGGACACUUGACCUCCAACACAGCUGUGGUGCCCACCCAGAAUCCCAGACCCCGUGAACCAAAGCCCUGACUCCUGCACAUCCAUCCCUGUAGCCAUUUUAAAGGCCUUGAUGCCUUCCUCUUUGUUACCUGUACCCCACUUUACAGACACCCAUCCAACGACUGUGAUCUGAGGACCCUUUUUAGCAGUGAUGGAGUAACACGCUUGGCCCUAACCACUGCUCCAUAAUUGCUGGCUGUCAACCUCCAUCUUCUCAUGGUGUGUCAGUUGGGGUUGGUGCACUGUCGAACUGUUGCCUGCCAUAUAGCUUUCGGCUGCUCCACCACCAGCGCCAUGCCAACCAGGAUGCCGGCUUGCCCAAGGUGCCUUUGUUUUUUAAAAACAAUUUCCAGUACAGACAGGGAUGACAGGGAGGGUAGCAGUUGUUCUGGCUCAGGUUCAAGGAGACAUGCCUUUCCACUGAACCUGCCCCAGAGACGGUUCCUUAGCUACUGAAGAUCCUCCUCUGUGGGCUCUCAGGACAGAGGGUUGUAGUCUUCGGCCAGAUACAGGUCCUCCACUGACUGCACCUGGUUGGGCACGGCUGGCUUCCUCCACUCGCAUUCCACAUCCGUACGGCCGAUAUUGUGACCCGCCAAAAUAGGCUGCAUGGCUACCUGUAUGAGCUCCACGGAGGCAUAGAGAGAAUCACCUGGUCACCUAUAGAGACCUGCCAGGAGGGAAGAUGUUAAGUGCCACAUGCCUUUCAAUACAUGAAUUUGAACACCUUGAAAUACAUUUGUUGUAAGAAAUGUGCUGUAUAAAUAAAGUUUGAUUUGAAUGAUGACAUUAUAGCUGUAGAAUAUUUAAUAUACUGUAAUUUUCACGAGGACCGGUGCCGUUUUUUCCCCUUCUUUUCAACUUUGAAUUGACAACAUUCUGGAACUGUUAUCAUUCAUCUAAGUCUGGUAUCUGGGGUAAUCUGGUUAAUGAUUAUAUAAAUUAUUAAGUGUCUAUUUCUUUGUAGAAUGUUGACAGCUGUAUAGAACACAUUGUAUUGCUAAGAUUCUCAAACUUGAUAGCUACACUCCGACACAGGAUAAACUUUAUCUCUCAUAUUGGCCCUGACUAAACCGAUAAGUUGCCCCUCACUAUAGCUGCACUUCUCCACAUAUCAAGGCUCAGGAGAAGACCCAGAUGCAGACAGUUUCGAAGUAACAAAAGUUUAUAACAAA